GGCGCUACGAGCGUCGUGGAUAUCAGUCACGGCUGCAUCAGCUCCCACAAAAACGCCGGAUUGCCCCGGAACUUCUCUUCCUGCCUCCAAGAUUCCUGCGCACAAGGUCAGUGGUCACUGGCACCCC
rnacentral:lncRNA from 1 species